AGAUUGAACAUAAGAGUUUGAUCCUGGCUCAGAUUGAACGCUGGCGGCAUGCUUUACACAUGCAAGUCGGACGGCAGCACAGAGAAGCUUGCUUCUCGGGUGGCGAGUGGCGAACGGGUGAGUAACAUAUCGGAACGUACCGAGUAGUGGGGGAUAACUGAUCGAAAGAUCAGCUAAUACCGCAUACGUCUUGAGAGAGAAAGCAGGGGACCUUUGGGCCUUGCGCUAUUCGAGCGGCCGAUAUCUGAUUAGCUAGUUGGUGGGGUAAAGGCCUACCAAGGCGACGAUCAGUAGCGGGUCUGAGAGGAUGAUCCGCCACACUGGGACUGAGACACGGCCCAGACUCCUACGGGAGGCAGCAGUGGGGAAUUUUGGACAAUGGGCGCAAGCCUGAUCCAGCCAUGCCGCGUGUCUGAAGAAGGCCUUCGGGUUGUAAAGGACUUUUGUCAGGGAAGAAAAGGCUGUUGCUAAUACCAGCGGCCGAUGACGGUACCUGAAGAAUAAGCACCGGCUAACUACGUGCCAGCAGCCGCGGUAAUACGUAGGGUGCGAGCGUUAAUCGGAAUUACUGGGCGUAAAGCGGGCGCAGACGGUUACUUAAGCAGGAUGUGAAAUCCCCGGGCUCAACCCGGGAACUGCGUUCUGAACUGGGUGACUCGAGUGUGUCAGAGGGAGGUAGAAUUCCACGUGUAGCAGUGAAAUGCGUAGAGAUGUGGAGGAAUACCGAUGGCGAAGGCAGCCUCCUGGGAUAACACUGACGUUCAUGCCCGAAAGCGUGGGUAGCAAACAGGAUUAGAUACCCUGGUAGUCCACGCCCUAAACGAUGUCAAUUAGCUGUUGGGCAAC
rnacentral:rRNA from 1 species